UAGGGAAUCUUCCACAAUGGACGCAAGUCUGAUGGAGCAACGCCGCGUGAGUGAAGAAGGUCUUCGGAUCGUAAAGCUCUGUUGUUGGUGAAGAAGGAUAGAGGCAGUAACUGGUCUUUAUUUGACGGUAAUCAACCAGAAAGCCACGGCUAACUACGUGCCAGCAGCCGCGGUAAUACGUAGGUGGCAAGCGUUGUCCGGAUUUAUUGGGCGUAAAGCGAGCGCAGGCGGAAUGAUAAGUCUGAUGUGAAAGCCCACGGCUCAACCGUGGAACUGCAUCGGAAACUGUCAUUCUUGAGUGCAGAAGAGGAGAGUGGAACUCCAUGUGUAGCGGUGGAAUGCGUAGAUAUAUGGAAGAACACCAGUGGCGAAGGCGGCUCUCUGGUCUGCAACUGACGCUGGGGCUCGAAAGCAUGGGUAGCGAACAGGAUUAGAUACCCUGGUAGUCCAUGCCGUAAACGAUGAGCGCUAGGUGUUGGGGACUUUCCGGUCCUCAGUGCCGCAGCAAACGCAUUAAGCGCUCCGCCUGGGGAGUACGACCGCAAGGUUGAAACUCAAAGUGAAUUGAC
rnacentral:rRNA from 1 species